AUUGAACGCUGGCGGCAGGCCUAACACAUGCAAGUCGAGCGGAUGAAGGGAGCUUGCUCCUGGAUUCAGCGGCGGACGGGUGAGUAAUGCCUAGGAAUCUGCCUGGUAGUGGGGGAUAACGUCCGGAAACGGGCGCUAAUACCGCAUACGUCCUGAGGGAGAAAGUGGGGGAUCUUCGGACCUCACGCUAUCAGAUGAGCCUAGGUCGGAUUAGCUAGUUGGUGGGGUAAAGGCCUACCAAGGCGACGAUCCGUAACUGGUCUGAGAGGAUGAUCAGUCACACUGGAACUGAGACACGGUCCAGACUCCUACGGGAGGCAGCAGUGGGGUAUAUUGGACAAUGGGCGAAAGCCUGAUCCAGCCAUGCCGCGUGUGUGAAGAAGGUCUUCGGAUUGUAAAGCACUUUAAGUUGGGAGGAAGGGCAGUAAGUUAAUACCUUGCUGUUUGGACGUUACCAACAGAAUAAGCACCGGCUAACUUCGU
rnacentral:rRNA from 1 species